UGGGAGGGGAGGCAGGGGAGUGGCAGGGUUGACUGUAAUUGCUGUGCUUAAGGAGGUUCUAAAGAAUGGGCAGCUGCUCAGGGAAGGGAAAUGAAUGGAUUCCAUGCCACGGAGGUGGUGGAGGGAACUAACAGGGAUGUGCUUCUUGUUCACAUAUUCAGAGGCCUGUUCCAGAGGAAGCCCGAGACUGCUGUGGCCUUGGGAGGUUGAUCGAGGUCAGCCAAGGACUUCCAAGGUGGAAGAGAGAGCCCCCUGACAGCGAGAGAAUGACCACACUCCUCUGUCCCCCUACAGGCCUCUGUCUUCUGAAGGCAGGAAUGAAGAAGCGCACCCCACAGAGAGGCCGGCAUGAAUUCCAGAGCUGAGUGCAAGGUCGCCACUGAACUCUGAGAUCUGCUGAUAACAGCCGAGAUCUCGGGAAUGCUCUGACCUGGGCCUGAGCCACAUUCACCCUGCCAUUUCUGAGACCUGCACCAUGAGGUGUGCCCCGACCUGCUCUGAAGGCAGCCUGGAGAGAGUGGGAAACCUCGUCAGCAGAGUGUAAAUACCCCCACCACCGCUGAUCCGGACUCACCAGCGUGAAACCACUGAGCAUGGACAUGGGAAGCGAUGUGCAGAAGAAGCAGCUCUUAGGAGCCAGUCAGAGGCGGCGGCAGCUCUGGCACAUGGUUGUCUUUAACCUGAACAUGAGAACAGCCCAGCCAGAGGCAGAAUCUAAAUCAAGGUCAGGGAAGAAACUAAGGGCCCAAGCGCCCAACAUUGGGUCUGAGCCAGCCUUGAGACUGGAAGUGAUAAAACUGAGUCAGGAAGCCAGGCACAAGGAAGGCGGAAAACAGGUUUGGAAGUACAACAUGCAAGGGGCCCAGGGAAGUGGCUCAGGCUGGAAUCACCUGGUGCCGGUGGUGUGCGGGAGUCCCAGCUUGUGUGGAACACCCUGUUGCCUCCUGUCGUCCCUGAGCUUGGAAAGGGAGGCCGUGCAUGUGACGCCGAGGGAGCUGGUCAAAUAGACAGGUGUUCCCUGCACCCCAGGGAUGACGUCUGAGCAGGCCAGGCCAGGAGAGGGCAAAGCCAAUCUCUGUAAUUGUUAGUGCAUCAAUUCUGGUGACGGUCCCAUGAGGACAAUGCCAAGGUCCCAGAGAGGGGGGAUGCCCUGUCUGACAUCAUCUGCUAUUUCUAGGCCAAUUCACAGCCUCCUCCAGGGGGAAUUUCCUUCAGGACAUAAAUCACCCAGUCUUCUCACGACUACCUCACCUCCCGAGGAAACCGAGGGAGCCUGGGCAUCCGGGCGUCCUGGUGCUGGGAGUGGAAAGAAGGCGUCAAACCUGACGUCACUUGGACCAGGGUUCAAAUCUCACCUCCUCCCCUUCUCAGCUGCAGGGCUCUGAAAUCAACCUGAUUUCUUGUCCUUCUGUCUGUCUGUCUGCCUGCCUGCCUGCAGUCUUCUCUCCAAUCGUUCUGAUUACAGCUGAUUCUCUUGCACCUGGGCUCCAUUUUAUGAUGUGUGAGUGACAGAGAGGUGACAAAUGAGAGCAAGAGAGAGUGACAGACGGGAGCACACAUGGGGGGGGGUGCGUGGAACACGUGUACACACAGAGGGUUGACAGCUGGGUUGUCCCCUUUGAGACAGGGUCUCUCCAGGUCUCCCCAUUCUCAGAGGGGUGCGCUAGCACCAUCCAUUCUGCAGA